rnacentral:siRNA from 1 species
AAGCGUUAACAGUAGUCAAUUAUG